rnacentral:rRNA from 1 species
UCCAGACUCCUACGGGAGGCAGCAGUGAGGAAUAUUGGUCAAUGGCCGAAGGGCUGAACCAGCCAAGCCGCGUGAAGGAAUAAGGCCCUACGGGUCGUAAACUUCUUUAGUCAGGGAACAAAGGGAGCCACGCGUGGCGCUGUGAGUGUACCUGAAGAAUAAGCCCCGGCUAACUACGUGCCAGCAGCCGCGGUAAUACGUAGGGGGCAAGCGUUAUCCGGAUUUACUGGGUGUAAAGGGAGCGUAGACGGCAGUGCAAGUCUGGAGUGAAAGGCGGGGGCUCAACCCCCGGACUGCUCUGGAAACUGUACGGCUGGAGUGCAGGAGAGGUAAGUGGAAUUCCUAGUGUAGCGGUGAAAUGCGUAGAUAUUAGGAGGAACACCAGUGGCGAAGGCGGCUUACUGGACUGUAACUGACGUUGAGGCUCGAAAGCGUGGGGAGCAAACAGGAUUAGAUACCCCAGUA